GUAGCCGGUGCGCGGGGUGGCUGGGGCUACGUGCAGAGCUGUCGCGGAGCCGGAACAGCAGCGGUGAAGCCCCUCGGCUCGGCCGAGACCGCCGUGCCCAUUGCUCGCCUCGGUUGCCGCCGCUUUAGCCGCAGCCGCUGCUGCCGCCGCCGGGGGAGAGGCAGCCUAUUGUCUUUCUCCGCGGCGAAGGAGAUGGAGGAGGACAUCUGGACAGUGAGCAGGAGGCGCCUCGGCCCAUGCCGAACAUCCCAGGGGACCUGGAGAGCCGGGAGGCCAUGGUGGCAUUUUUCAACUCCGCUGGAGCCAGUGCCCAGGAGGAACAAAGGGUGUGCUGCCAGCCCCUGGCUCACCCAGUGGCCUCGUCCCAGAAGAAGCCAGAGGUAGCGGCCCCAGCCCCAGAGAGUGGGGGUGAGUCUGUGUUUGGGGAGACCCACCGGGCCCUGCAGGGGGCCAUGGAGAAGCUGCAGCGACUUUAUGGAAGGAGAAGGUGGACCUGAAGGAGCGGGUAGAGAAACUAGAGCUUCAAUUCAUCCACCUCUCAGGACAGACAGACACCAUAGAAAGUACAUCAGCCAGGGGGCAGUGUCAGAGACGCAGCACUGGGAGAGGAGGACAUCGUCAGGCUGGCCCAGGACCAGGAGGAGAUGAAGGCUUUUAUCCUAGAUCACCACUGGAUUGCUGACAGAUAGAGGAGGUGGGACCCUGACUAUCACCCCUAAUCUGCAGUGGAUUUGGCUCUCGGCACUCCCAGGCUGGGAGCUGGAUACCUGCCCUGGCAGCAUGGCUCAGACUGCAUGACAGGUACGGCGUGCCCAGGAUGAUGUGCCCAGGCCUCUGGCCGCCUGAGUCCAGCCCCCCACACAACCCCCUCCAAGCUCCCAGCCCCUACACCAUAAACCAUGAGCUCUGUGCCCUCUCUGAUGGUUCCACAUCUGCCACCUUCGGCAUGGAGCCUGUUGUAA
rnacentral:lncRNA from 1 species